rnacentral:misc_RNA from 1 species
AUUGGGAUAUUUCCAGAGGAUGAGGUACACUUUUGUUUAAGGCCAGUGAUUUACACGCUUCUCAUCUUGGAUUUGAAAAUUUUUUUUAGCUAAUAAGUGCUAGAGUACGUAUAGAUUAUAAAAUUAUUCAAGUCCUUGUAAAAUAAAGAGGCCUAUUUUAAGAAGUGUAGUUAUGAUAUGCUAAGCAGUGGAUAGGCAAGUUCAUCAUCUUUUAUGUAAAAUUGCCUUUGAUUUGAGGUUCUAGAAAGCAACAUGCAAGAAUAGAAAAAUCAAACAUUUAAAAUUGCAAGUCAGAAAAAAUAGCCUCUUGGCAGAGCUGGCCAGCAAUAAAAACACACUUGAUUGCUAGCUCGUAUCAAUUUUCUAAACUAAAUUUUUUGAUAAAACUUUGAAUUUGCCACACACAGGCGCUCAUAUUUCUAAAUUUAUUGACAAUUUACUAAAAGUAAAAUUCUUUCUUCCCUGUUUAAGAAUUACUACGCAUUUUCAUUUCAGCAAGUUGUUGAUG